CCUACGGGAGGCUGCAGUGGGGGAUAUUGCACAAUGGGGGAAACCCUUAUGCAGCGACGCCGCGUGUGGGAAGACGGUCCUCUGGAUUGUAAACCACUGUCCCCAGGGACGAAGAUGACGGUACCUGGGGAGGAAGCUCCGGCUAACUACGUGCCAGCAGCCGCGGUACUACGUAGGGAGCGAGCGUUGUCCGGAAUUACUGGGUGUAAAGGGAGCGUAGGCGGGACUGCAAGUUGGGUGUCAAAUCUACCGGCUCAACCGGUAGCCGCACUCAAAACUGCAGUUCUUGAGUGAAGUAGAGGCAGGCGGAAUUCCUAGUGUAGCGGUGAAAUGCGUAGAUAUUAGGAGGAACACCAGUGGCGAAGGCGGCCUGCUGGGCUUUUACUGACGCUGACGCUCGAAAGUGUGGGGAGCAAACAGGAUUAGAUACCCGGGUAGUC
rnacentral:rRNA from 1 species